GUAAGUGAAAAAUGCUAUCGGCGAUCAAUAAGGCCCAAGUGCUACGCUGGUGACUUCCAUUGCACUUUGGAGCGGUGCCCGCUAAAGGUCUGCCCACGUGGCAGAGCCUACGUCAUAAUUUGUUCCAGUGGGGGCCUGUGUUCAUUCAGCCUCUCU